AAGCCGAGUGUCAGCGUUCUCGGAAUCACUGGGCGUAAGGGUGCGUAGGCUGGCUUUUAAGUCAGAUGUGAAAUCCAAUGGCUUAACCAUUGAACUGCAUUUGAAACUGAGAGCCUAGAGUUCAGAAGGGGCAGAUGGAAUUGAGUGGUGUAGGGGUAAAAUCCGUAGAUAUCACUAGGAAUAUCAAAAGCGAAGGCGAUCUGCUGGGAUGAUACUGACGCUGAGGCACGAAAGCGUGGGGAGCAAACAGGAUUAGAUACCCUGGUAGUCCACGCCCUAAACGAUGAAUGCUAGUCGUCGGGAAGCUCGUCUUUUCGGUGACGCACUUAACAGAUUAAGCAUUCCGCCUGGGGAGUACGGUCGCAAGAUUAAAACUCAAAGGAAUAGACGGGGACCCGCACAAGUGGUGGAGCAUGUGGUUUAAUUCGAAGAUACACGAAGAACCUUACCUGGCCUUGACAUCCCAAGAACUUUCCAGAGAUGGAUUGGUGCUAGCUUGCUAGAACUUGGUGACAGGUGCUGCACGGCUGUCGUCAGCUCGUGUCGUGAGAUGUUGGGUUAAGUCCCGCAACGAGCGCAACCCUCGUCAUUAGUUGCUAACAGUUCGGCUGAGCACUCUAAUGAGACUGCCUCCGUAAGGAGGAGGAAGGUGAGGACGACGUCAAGUCAUCAUGGCCCUUACGGCCAGGGCUACACACGUGCUACAAUGGGGCGUACAGAGAGCUGCAAUACCGCGAGGUGGAGCCAAUCUCUUAAAGCGUCUCUCAGUUCGGAUUGUUCUCUGCAACUACGAGAACAUGAAGCUGGAAUCACUAGUAAUCGCAGAUCAGCUAUGCUGCGGUGAAUACGUUACCCGGGUCUUGUACUCACCGCCCGUCACACCAUGGGAGUUGAUUUCACCCGAAAUCGGGAUGCCAAACUGGCUACCGCUUACGGUGAAUAG
rnacentral:rRNA from 1 species